rnacentral:rRNA from 1 species
CUUUGUGGUCAGACCUGCUUGUCUCAGAAGCUAAGCAGGACCAGGCUUGUUUAGUACUCGGAUGGGAGACUGCUGUUAAUACCAGGGACCACAAGGG